rnacentral:piRNA from 1 species
UGGGAUUUGAAGUGUGAGAAGUGGAG